rnacentral:lncRNA from 1 species
AUGUGUGCAAUUUGUUGGCUCCCUUUUUCCUGUAAGCUCAUGGUUCAAGUCUCUUCAGAUGGAUGGUGGUUAGCUUGCUUACUCUGCACACACCUCUGGAGUUCUUCCCGGGCAACUUCCUAUCAUUAUAUUAGAGAGGGAGAGAUUCCCUGGAGAGAGAAGAGCCACGGAGACUGUGCUUCUGUUGCGGUUGAAAGACAAUCAAUAGCACACCACCUUCUAAACACACAUGUACAAAACUGUCAAUGCUAUUUAGAUAGUAUCUUAAAAGAUUUUUUAAUUAGUUCAUUAAAAUUUUUAUUAGUUAAACUCAGUUUUGAACAUAUUACAGAGACAUGCAUAUAUCUGGAAAUACGUGCUUGAAGUUUACACACAAUUAAUGAAGAUCCAAGAAUAGAUCUAUUAACUUUUGUGUAAUAGGAAAUGUUGGAGAAGAAGUCUAGUAUCUAGUAUAAAAGGGGAGAGACUAUUGCAAAUUAUUAUUAUUUUAUAUAUUUUUUUUAGUUUUUUACUUUUUUAAUUUUAAAAUCUUUAAUUCUUACACACGUUCCCAAACAUGAACCCCCUUCCCACUUCCCUCCCCAUAACAUUUCUCUGGGUCAUCCCCAUGCACCAGCCCCAGGCAUGCUGUAUCCUGCGUCAGACAUAGACUGGCGAUUCAAUUCUUACAUGAUAGUAUACAUGUUACAAUGCCAUUCUCCCAAAUCAUCCCACCCUCUCCCUCUCCCUCUGAGUCCAAAAGUCCGUUAUACACAUCUGUGUCUUUUUUCCUGUCUUGCAUACAGGGUCGUCAUUGCCAUCUUCCUAAAUUCCAUAUAUAUGUGUUAGUAUACUGUAUUGGUGUUUUUCUUUCUGGCUUACUUCACUCUGUAUAAUCGGCUCCAGUUUCAUCCAUCUCAUCAGAACUGAUUCAAAUGAAUUCUUUUUAACGGCUGAGUAAUACUCCAUUGUGUAUAUGUACCACAGCUUUCUUAUCCAUUCAUCUGCUGAUGGACAUCUAGGUUGUUUCCAUGUCCUGGCUAUUAUAAACAGUGCUGCGAUGAACAUUGGGGUACAUGUGUCUCUUUC